rnacentral:misc_RNA from 1 species
AUUCAAUCCCUUGUGCCUUUCACCAAGUGCAACGUCAAGUUUAUCAGCUUUUAAACCACCAUCCUUGCCAUUUGGUAGAAUGUGAUUGCCAGCAGAAGCAUGUGAAAGUCCACUCCUGUUUGGUUGAGCCUGUGCAAAUGCCAUCCUCUUUUGAAAUCCCAUGGAGUCCCACCUUAUGGAAAAUUCUACCACUAUAUCUUGCAGCAGCUGAAUUCUCUUCUCCACUGCAGGGGGGCUUGAAGAUAAUUUCUCCACAAACUUCUGGUUAACAAAACAUUCUAAAGAGUUCCCGUAUCUCUCCUGAAAUAAAUCCCUUAGCUCUCGUAAUUCUGGUAAAUCGGAGAAUCUUGCUGCAGCAAACAUCAGCGAUGCCACAGCUUCUCUGCAGUUCUCAGG